rnacentral:rRNA from 1 species
UGGGUUCCCGGGGGAAGUAUGGUUGCAAAGCUGAAACUUAAAGGAAAUUGACGGAAGGGCACCACCAGGAGUGGAGCCUGCGGCUUAAUUUGACUCAACACGGGAAAUCUCACCAGGCCCGGACACUGGAAGGAUUGACAGAUUGAGAGCUCUUUCUCGAUUCGGUGGGUGGUGGUGCAUGGCCGUUCUUAGUUGGUGGAGUGAUUUGUCUGGUUAAUUCCGAUAACGAACGAGACUCUGUCCUGCUAAAUAGUGUCAGCCUCUCUUUUGGGCUGACAAUUCUUCUUAGAGGGACUGGCGGCUCCUAGCCGCACGAGAUAGAGCAAUAACAGGUCUGUGAUGCCCUUAGAUGCUCUGGGCCGCACGCGCGCUACACUGAAUAGAUCAGCGUGUUCUCCCUUUCUGAGAAGAACGGGUAAACCGCUGAACCCUAUUCGUGGUAGGGAUCGGGGCUUGCAAUUAUUCCCCGUGAACCAGGAAUUCCCAGUAGGCGCGAGUCAUAAGCUCGCGUCGAUUACGUCCCUGCCCUUUGUACACACCGCCCGUCGCUACUACCGAUUGAAUGGCUA